rnacentral:rRNA from 1 species
GAUGAACGCUAGCGAUAGGCCUAACACAUGCAAGUCGAGGGGCAGCAUAGAGUAGCAAUACUUUGAUGGCGACCGGCGCACGGGUGAGUAACACGUAUGCAACCUACCUACAUCAGGGGAAUAACCCGGAGAAAUUCGGACUAAUACCGCAUAAUACAGGGAUGCCGCAUGGCAAUAUUUGUUAAAGAUUUAUCGGAUGUAGAUAGGCAUGCGUUCCAUUAGCUAGUUGGUGAGGUAACGGCUCACCAAGGCAACGAUGGAUAGGGGAACUGAGAGGUUUAUCCCCCACACUGGUACUGAGACACGGACCAGACUCCUACGGGAGGCAGCAGUGAGGAAUAUUGGUCAAUGGACGCAAGUCUGAACCAGCCACGUCGCGUGAAGGAAGACGGCCCUACGGGUUGUAAAACUUCUUUUAUACGGGAAUAAAGUGCCCCACGCGUGGGGUUUUGCAUGUACCGUAUGAAUAAGGAUCGGCUAACUCCGUGCCAGCAGC